CUUGGCCCAGGCCCUACCCAUCGCCUGCUGGCCGGCGACGGCUGGGAGGACGGCCUGCUCCUCUCGGCAGCCAGCCACGUUCGCCUUCUUUGGUUGUCACCAGGGACUGGCUGCCGGCCCUGCAGCCAGGAUGGUGUUGAUGGGUCCCCACAGCUGCGGCCACACGUGUGCCCGGCCAUCAGCCUGGGACAGGCGGGCGCGGGGGAGGGGAGCCUCCCAGCAGGAGGGAGGCCAGAGGCUGCAGCUGAGGGACAGCAGGUGCCGGGCGGCCUGGGUGGCCGCUGUUCACCGGCUGCUCCCACCCUGGCCUCUCCACGGGACCCGCCAGCUGUGGGGCUCUGGGAACGUCCCCAGUGUCUCUGCAGCGGGGAGGGGUGGCGAGGUGAGGUCUGUGUGGUGCUGGGCACUCCAAGGUGGCAAUGUCAUUAAAUAGUCACCGUCCACAGAGACGGCGGGCUCAGGCCCCCACACGCGUCCCUGUGUCCCUGGUGCCUGGGGUGGAGAUGAGGGUGUGCCAAGGGAUGACGGUCACAGGACCAUGCGGCAGGCCUGGGGCCCCAGCUGGCUCACCCCGUCCCCGGCCUGCGGCCUCCUGUUAGCAGGAGGUGCGUUGCGGGGAGAGGACACCCACCUUGCUGGCCCGGGGAGCCAGGCCCCUGGUGCCUGAGCUGCAGUUCUAGGCCUUUCCCACCUGCCCGGCCGCUGGCCUUGCCAAGGUACAGGGGCUUGGGGCUCAUGCCCAUCUGCCAGGCUCAGCCUGGCCUUCUUGGCCCCAAUGCCAGGUGCUGUCCCUUUAGCAUCCUGCUCUGGGGCACAUCAGAGGGUCAGGGCCACCUAGCCACUGGUCCACCCUGGCCUUCAUCUUUCUGCCCUCUCCCCAUGUACUAUCCUGAGCAGAGCUUGUGGGACCUCAGGGAGCCCAUGUCCCCUGGGGUCCAGUCAAGCCCAGGCGCUGCAGCCCCUGGCCUGUGCCAUGACACAUUUCAGGGUUGGGCCCAGGGCACCCUGGGAUCGAUGCAUCCUCCCUUCACACUCCCCGAAGGCCCGGAACCUUCCAGCAGCCUCACUGGGGCUUGUUGGGAAUGCAGAUUCCCGGGCCCUGGCCAC
rnacentral:lncRNA from 1 species